rnacentral:rRNA from 1 species
AGCGAACGCUGGCGGCGUGCUUAACACAUGCAAGUCGAGUGCGCGCCUGUAGCAAUACAGGUGGCGCACGGCGCACGGGUGCGUAACACGUGGGUAAUCUGCCCUUCGAUGGGGAAUAACUCGCCGAAAGGCGAGCUAAUUCCGCAUAACAUUCCGAGAACUUUGGUUUUUGGAUUCAAAGGCGUAAGUCGUCGGAGGAGGAGCCCGCGCACGAUUAGCUAGUUGGUGAGGUAAUGGCUCACCAAGGCUAUGAUCGUUAGCUGGUCUGAGAGGAUGGCCAGCCACACUGGAACUGAGACACGGUCCAGACUCCUACGGGAGGCAGCAGUGGGGAAUCUUGCACAAUGGGCGAAAGCCUGAUGCAGCGACGCCGCGUGGGGGAUGAAGCUUUUCGGAGUGUAAACCCCUUUCGACCCGGACGAAAACCUCGCAAGAGGAUUGACGGUACGGGUAUAAGAAGCCCCGGCUAACUACGUGCCAGCAGCCGCGGUAAGACGUAGGGGGCCAGCGUUGCUCGGAAUUACUGGGUGUAAAGGGUUCGUAGGCGGUGUGGCAAGUCGGGAGUGAAAUCUCUGGGCUCAACCCAGAGUCUGCUUCCGAAACUGCUG